ACUUUGUUCACUGCUUGUAUGUUGUGCCUUGCAUCUGUCAGACUGUUUGCUGAUUUUCUGAACUUUGCCUUUCCCUGGUUUUGAAAUGAAGCAUCAGCAAAACCCUAUUUAUUUUCCCUAUACAAAAGAGACGUGUUUCAGAUCAAUCUCAGUGUUUCAAACAUUUCAAGGGUUGCCAUUGCCGGCUUUUCAGUGAACCAAUGAAGAAAAUGUUUGUCAAGUUACUUUUGUUGUUUUUGUGGAAUCUGAUUGGUGUGUUUGGUUUUAAAGAGAGCAUCUCAGUCAAUGAGGGAGAGUUGAUCACUCUUAACUCUGGUCUUACUGAAAUACAGACAGACGAUGACAUAGUGUGGACGUUUGGAAAUGACAGGUCUACUAUAGCUAUAAUCAACAGAGUGACCAAAAGUAUACUUGAUAAUCCUGAUAUGAGAUUCAGAGCCAGACUGAAGCUGGAUCACCAGACUGGAUCUCUGACCAUCACCGAAAGCAGAAUAUUAGACUCUGGACUUUAUGAAGUGACCGUCACCAACAGCAGCGAUUUAGAGAUUUCGAUGUUUCUGUCUACGAAAGGUUUGUUGAGACCGAUACAAAGAAGUCAGCGAUGGAGGGAGAUUCGGUCACUCUACACAGUGGUCGUACUUAUCUGAAUGAUGACUGGAUUCAGUGGUGGUUUAUAAAUAAAGACAAUUUAAUAGCUGAAAUCAAUGUACCGAUGGGCACAUUAAAUGUGUAUGAUGAUGUUCUUGAUGGGAGAUUCAGAGACAGACUGAAGCUGGACGAUCAAACUGGAUCUCUGACCAUCACAAACAUCACAACUCAACACACUGGAGAAUAUGAACUAGAGUACAACACUUGGAGCAGGCCUUCUUUUCAUCUCAAUGUCUACACUCGUCUGCCUGUUCCUGUCAUCAUCAGUAACUCUUCACAAUGUUCUUCAUCAUCA